rnacentral:rRNA from 1 species
GGAUGAAGGGAGCUUGCUCCCGGAUUCAGCGGCGGACGGGUGAGCAAUGCCUAGGAAUCUGCCUGGUAGUGGGGGACAACGUUUCGAAAGGAACGCUAAUACCGCAUACGUCCUACGGGAGAAAGCAGGGGACCUUCGGGCCUUGCGCUAUCAGAUGAGCCUAGGUCGGAUUAGCUAGUUGGUGGGGUAAAGGCCUACCAAGGCGACGAUCCGUAACUGGUCUGAGAGGAUGAUCAGUCACACUGGAACUGAGACACGGUCCAGACUCCUACGGGAGGCAGCAGUGGGGAAUAUUGGACAAUGGGCGAAAGCCUGAUCCAGCCAUGCCGCGUGUGUGAAGAAGGUCUUCGGAUUGUAAAGCACUUUAAGUUGGGAGGAAGGGCAGUAAGUUAAUACCUUGCUGUUUUGACGUUACCAACAGAAUAAGCACCGGCUAACUUCGUGCCAGCAGCCGCGGUAAUACGAAGGGUGCAAGCGUUAAUCGGAAUUACUGGGCGUAAAGCGCGCGUAGGUGGUUUGGUAAGAUGGAUGUGAAAUCCCCGGGCUCAACCUGGGAACUGCAUCCAUAACUGCCUGACUAGAGUACGGUAGAGGGUGGUGGAAUUUCCUGUGUAGCGGUGAAAUGCGUAGAUAUAGGAAGGAACACCAGUGGCGAAGGCGACCACCUGGACUGA